UACGGGGGGGGUAAGCGUUGUUCGGAAUUACUGGGCGUAAAGGGCUCGUAGGCGGCCAACUAAGUCAUACGUGAAAUCCCUCAGCUUAACUGGGGAACUGCGUGUGAUACUGGCGAUCUCGAGUUCGGGAGAGGUGAGUGGAACUGCGAGUGUAGAGGUGAAAUUCGUAGAUAUUCGCAAGAACACCAGUGGCGAAGGCGGCUCACUGGCCCGAUACUGACGCUGAGGUGCGAAAGCGUGGGGAGCAAACAGG
rnacentral:rRNA from 1 species